GACGAACGCUGGCGGCGCGCCUAAUACAUGCAAGUCGAACGCUUCUUUUUCCACCGGAGCUUGCUCCACCGGAAAAAGAGGAGUGGCGAACGGGUGAGUAACACGUGGGUAACCUGCCCAUCAGAAGGGGAUAACACUUGGAAACAGGUGCUAAUACCGUAUAACAAUCAAAACCGCAUGGUUUUGAUUUGAAAGGCGCUUUCGGGUGUCGCUGAUGGAUGGACCCGCGGUGCAUUAGCUGGUUGGUGAGGUAACGGCUCACCAAGGCCACGAUGCAUAGCCGCCCUGAGAGGGUGAUCGGCCACAUUGGGACUGAGACACGGCCCAAACUCCUACGGGAGGCAGCAGUAGGGAAUCUUAGGCAAUGGACGAAAGUCUGACCGAGCAACGCCGCGUGAGUGAAGAAGGUUUUCGGAUCGUAAAACUCUGUUGUUAGAGAAGAACAAGGAUGAGAGUAACUGUUCAUCCCUUGACGGUAUCUAACCAGAAAGCCACGGCUAACUACGUGCCAGCAGCCGCCGUAA
rnacentral:rRNA from 1 species